CACACACACACACACACACACACACACACACACACACACACACACACACACACACACACACACACACACACACACACACACACACACACACAAAAAACCAUCUAAGCACAUUACUUUCCUGAGUUUUUUUCAUUUUGUUUGUGGGUUUUGGUGCGAGUUGUUUUGUUUUUCUUUUAGUCAUUUUGGUUUUGGAAUUUACCAUAUAUAAUUUGUUCCCACCCUUGUCAUCCUUUUUUAUCUCUAUACCCAGCCGGUGCAUUCCUGCAGAAUGCUUCGUUUCAGUGUUAUUUCCCCUCUUGCCUUCUAACUGUAGCAUCUAAGAAAAAUGAAUAUUUAUUGUAAAUAUUAGACUGUAGCAUUGUAAUCACCACUCCUGGGAUUGAAUGCCAAAGGCUUUUAACAUCUAGUAUCCUAAAGAAUGCUUGUUGGGGGAUGGGCAAAAGGUGUGACCUGUGGUCUUGACAUCCACACUGCAUUAAGGUGUGAUUUAGAUUUUUUUUCUUCCUGCACAGGGAGGAUAAAGUCUUGUCUUUUCUCUGGUUUUCUCUUGCUGGGUGUGAAGGAUAAUGCUGUACUUCUAGUAGAAGAUUUUGACAGACGUGUGUUUACGUUGUGUUCAAUUAUCAUAUCCAGGCGGCUGUCAGUGCGACUUUGAAGCUGGGCUCUGGUGUCAAGCUGUGUUACUCAGCACUUGGCUAGAUAAGAGGAAGAUGUGGAAUUUAAGUGUUUUUAGAAACUUGAACAAUUGCCACAUAAUAGCGGUGCAAUAAUUUUUAUUCAUGUUGUACCUGCAUGUUGAUGUUUAAAUCCGCCUCCAAAAUAAAUUUUUUUUACAUAAAUACAAACUCUUGUUUUUCUUCAUUUUUUGUCUCCUAUUUUAAAUCUUCUACAGAAGACGUAGCCAGCAUUGCCAUGCCUUUCAUGCUGCCAGCUCAAAAGUGUUUAGCCUCAUUGUGUUCUUUGAGGCUCUUAUACUCAACUGAAUCCCCAGCCCCAAGCAUAAGGAGAUGGCUGCAAAGUAGCAGCAAGUUGGCGACAUCAAGAGCCUCUGUGGAUAAAGUAUCACUGUAUGGCACUCUGCGGUGGCUGAAUGUCAACGUAACUUACGUUGACUUAAUUUGGUAGAGUAAACUUGCCCUUAACUGAGGCCAGGAUUUCAUCUGACGUCUGCAGUGCUAUUCCACAUACCUAGUGUAUGUCCUUAUUGAUGUACACACAUGAAAAAUGACACCACAGCACACAGCAGCAAGCAAUUAGUGCAUCAGUGGAACUGGAAGAAGAAAAGGCAUCAAGCAAAGCUUGUAAUUUCUUCCAUACUGUGGCAAACCAUUAAAACCAACUUUCUGUAAAAUACAAUUGAACCACACUGUCCUUUAUAUUUUCUCUUGCAUCACUGCUGCUUACCAACAUAUAGACCAGUCCUAUUCCGCCUAAUCCUGUGAAAUAUACAGUAUGUUAAGCUAAUUGUCUUAGUUCUGAUUAGCCCUGCUCUGCAAAUGGCCAUCAUUCGGAAAAAGUGACCAUUUGCCACCCCCAAAGUUUGAUAGUGCAGCUUCCGUCUCUCUCUUAUUAACUGCCAUACACAAGGUGGGCUAGGUUCCCUUCAAAUGCAAAAUAAAGGCAAGUCAAAGGAAAAAACA
ensembl:lncRNA